rnacentral:tRNA from 1 species
GGCGACUUAGCCAAGUGGUAAGGCAUGGGACUGCAACUCCCCGAUGCGCCGGUUCAAAUCCGGCAGUCGCCU